rnacentral:lncRNA from 1 species
AUGUUUCGUGGUUUUCACCAUCCCGGAGAACUUCCUCGGGGCCCUGCUCCCUUAGGCUACCCACCCCAUGUACAGCCACCCGGUCCCAGCUACGGAGGGCCCUUUGGCCCGCCACCCCACGUUCCAAUGCCUGGACACUUACCUCCUGGAUCUUGUCAUCCUUUCUUACCUCCCGGAUCGGGAAGUGAAUACCUCCACAGGCCCAUGAGGGAACAUUAUAUCAAUACUCCACACUGCAGCAGUUACUCCAUUGACCGCAGCACAGUGAUCAGUCUGGGUGGUCAACAGAUUCUCCCACCAGACACACAGCAUCUUCAGAUGCCACAGUGGCCCGCCAAUCCUUUGGAAUCAUGUCAAAGAGACAAGAGUGAGAACUUGACAGCUGGGGAAGAAUUCCUCAGAUGCCUUGCAGCUAAUAAGCCAGUCCCUGACUUCCUCAAAGGAGUCAACCUGUUGGACGCAGGGAAGGCAGUCAAGGCUCCAGGUGUACCAGAAGACCGGGGUUAUGAGAGGCAGAGACUCCGGAGCAAAUCUCGCAGUCCAGCGAAGGAAAGCAGGGGCAGGAGUAAGAGCCGAGCAAAGAGCCAGGUAAGAAGCAAGAGCCGGGCAAGAAGCAAGAGCUGUCCGCGCAGCAGAAGUCGUACCCGAGGGAAAAGCCGGGCAAGAAGCAAAAGCCGACCACGAAGCAGGAGUCGCAGUCGUGGAAAGAGCCAGGUCAGAAGCAAGAGCAAGGCUCGUAGUAGGAGCCGGAGCCGAGGGAAAAGUCGGGUGAGAAGCAAAAGCAGAUCAAGGAGUAGGAGUCGCAGCUAUGGAAAGAGCCGGGGCAGAGUGGACCAUCAUUCAGACCACAGGGACAAAAGGAGCCCCAUUCGGAGCUGUAGCAGCAGGAUCAGUAAUCACUCCUCCGUACACAAUGACCUGCUCGAGGGCCUGAAACAAGUUAUGAACAGCAAGCAACUGGAGGACAGUAUGCCUUCCAUCAAGAAUGCCAUUCUCACAAUACAGGCCAAUAACUUUAGCAGAGAUAUCCAGAGCAGCAGAGCAAUCCAGAGCAACUGUCUUCCAUGUGGACCAGUCUUGGCCAGCAGACAGGAAUUUCUUCAAGCCUCAGAUGGGCCCAAGCCAGUCAGCAGACAGGAGGAGACCGACAGCAAUCUUCUCCCCCACGAGAGAGUGGGCUGUGACUUCUCCUGGCUGCAGGGCACCAGGGAGGUCUCGCCUGUUCAGAAGCUGGAGGAGGUUGAGGAUGAGGAGAACUUCCUCUAUGGGAAUGAGGAUAACCAGUCAAAACAACGCCCUGCCACCCUGCCUUUUGCACCGUCCACAUCCAUUACCCAGCAGAGCGGUGCAGAGAUCUCCCCAGCAGGCCCACCCUACUAUCAAAGCCAGCCUCUGUUCGGGAACCAUAGUGAAGUCCUGGAGUUCAAGAUGCCUCCUCAACCGGUCCAGUCCAGUGUGAGGCCUGAGCAGAGGGUGCAGCCUGUUCCUGAUGUGAGGCCCGCCCCCACUGUGAAGGAAUGUGAGGAGUUCAAGACCAUGUUGAAGAACAUUGGACUGAAUCUGGGCACAUCAGAGAUCAGUAAGAUGAUGGUCAAGCUGCAGCAACAGAAGGAGGGGAAGGUGCCAGAGCAGAAGAGGGAGGAGAAAGUGCCAUCACCAGCACCAGUGCUGCCUCUUCCUCUUGUAAUUGGGGCAUCACAGGAGCCCAGACUGGCCUCGCCAGCACUCGGGGCAGCACUUGGGACAGCACCAAUACGACAAGCAUUGGAGUCAUUACAGUUCAUUAUUAAAGCAACAAGGGAGAAAAGGGCCAAUAGUGAUCCACAUGAUGGCAACCAUUCCCAAAGGAAUUCAGACAAACAGAAGGUAACAUUUACUCGGCAGUGUCAUUCCAAUCACACUCUUUUUUUUUUCUCUGAGACACACCUCACUAUUACUGAUGAUAAUUACUCCUGAUGUUUGUUGUGUCACAGCAUGUUGUGAUGUCUAAACUAGAAAACACUGCAUUUUAACAUUGUGAUGAAAUGGGACUUUCUAGAGCAAAGAUGACGAGGAGAGUCAGAGGAGAUCGAGACAUGACCAAAUGAAAAGGAAAGAAACUCUUGUGAAGGAACUGGAGGAAUUGCUAAAGCAGGAUGGUAUAGUAUUGUUCAUUAUAGACCUGUCUUUCUAACCAGUCUUUCUCUAUCUACAUAAUAUAAAUGACUGGUAGGCCAUCAUUGUAAAUAAGAAUUUGUUCUUAACUGACUUGCCUUGUUAAAUAUAAAUAAAUAUAAGCAUUAUUUUUGUUGCCAUCAUUACUUGGUAAUAGAAUGACACCUAAAUGCCUUUUCAUUCGUAUAUUCAGGGUCUACCUUUUUGAUUCCGGUCAUCGGGUUCUACUGUCAGAGGUGUGAGGAGUUCUUCGGAGACCUGACCACUGCUGAGGACCAUGCAGCAACCCACCGGCAGAAUGAGCCUAGCAUGGCAUGUACCUAGCUACAUUGUCUCGCCCCACACAGUAACCCAACUGCAUACACUGCAUUGACCAACGAAACAGCAUAGUUAAACCAUUACGUUGUUCAACCUAGAUCACCCCUCAGUAUAAACUUUAGGUUCCUUUCCAGUCCACUUGUCUUCAGCAUCCAUAGAAAAGUCAAAUUCCCCAAAAGAUUUGUGGUAUUAUAAUCCCAAACUGUAUCUACUUGUUUCACCUUGUCUAUAGCAGCAGCAUGGAGACAGACGACCUGGAGAGGACCGAAGACACCCUAGUCAUUACAUCGGGCACCCCCUGGGUCCAGAGUGGAGGGACCAGGGAGACCCAAGAGAUCAGAGGUAUCGCAAACUAGACGAGGGCCCAAAGGGUUACAGGAACGACAGGGAGAAGAUCUACGUAAAAGAGGAACGCCCUGGAAGCCCCAGGAUAAAGAUGCAGAUGGUCCGCGGGCACACCCCACCAGGUCUGCAGAAGGCCAGGGGGAGAGAGGAGGGGAGGGUGGAUAAGGGCUCUUGUGCUGCUUCCUCUGGCCAUGCCAGUGGGAAAUAUGGUAGGGUCAAACUUGAGGUAGUGGAGACCAAAGGAAAGCCCAACGUGGAAGUAUGUGACAAAAAGGACAAAGAUAAAGGAGAAAGCAGUUCUAAUAGUGAUGACGAGAAAGACAAAUCUCCUAAAGGCAACAAAAAGAAAAAGAAGAAGGAGAAAAAGAAGAAGGAAAAGAAGAAGAAGAAGAAGGAAAAGGGUUAGAAGUAAUAGCUGCUGUACUGCAUGUCCUGGUUUGAUUGUACUGUAUCUCUGGAGGACCUGGCCUUGGGUCAUUGUUUGGCAUCAUUGCAGCUGUUUUCAGAAGUUGGUGCUUUUAAUGUUAAAAAGAAGCAGUACUCCUCUGAUUCGUUCUCUCCUUUUGGGGUUGUCUUGUUUUUCAGCAAACUGCGUUCCUCUGUGUUGUAGUGGAUAACAGCACAUUGAAUGCUGUUGGAGGACAGGCCGUUCCAGGGUGCAUAUGCAGCAUUUAUGAUGUCCAGAAUUGUUUUGCUGCCAGCUACUGAUCCUAUUGUUCAGACCUUUAGUUACUGUAGAUGUUUAUUAAAUAACCCUCUUUAUAUUGGGCCAUGUUUGUGUAUAUUUCACCCGGUACAACCUUGAUUUAGUGCUUUGAGUGUUAUCAAAUGUACUUUUUGCAUUUAAAGGUCAACUGCCAUUUGAAGCGUGUGCUGUCUUUCUUCCUAAUGUUAAACCGAUGAGAUGGAAUUGUUCUGUAAUGAAGACAUUUUUAUGCAUUGUCCUCUUAUAAUAUGUCUCAGCAAUUGAUGGCGCAAGGCUAUUUGCAAGCGCACAUGAUCUUGCCAAAGUCAUUGGAUCCUAUCAGGAUAGGAACAGUUGACAUAUUUUUGUAAGGUGAUCACUUUUUUUUCUGAUUAUAUACAUUGUUUUUGUCUGCUGUUGCUUACUCUGACUUCCUUUUUCUCACACAUUAGGCAUUUCCAUUGAUCCAGGUUUAUUUGACAAAAGCAAUGUCAGAAACGGCAGAUAUGAGACAUUUUUAUCCGUUCAAUAGGCUUCUAUUUUUCUUUUGUUGAACUUUCUUUACUGCAACUAAUGAGGGAAACUACUUUUAACUACUUUUAAGGUAUGCUGGGCAUGUGAUGUCAUCACAUAACUUUAGGCUGCACUCCUAAAUGCCUACUGCUUGCAAAAUAAGUUUUCAUUUUGAGCUAACAUGGAAUUGUUUUAAGAUGGUCAUACCAUGGAUCAUUUAGCUAUUUGAUUUUGAAUUUUAUGACCCCUUUGGGUAUCAAAAAUAUUUAGUGAUUUGAUAAAAUAUUUAAUUUCACCUCUACUAUAGCACAUAGAAACGCAUUAAAUAACACAUUAAUAAAUGUCAUAAAAGACAGUAAAAAAAUAGAUCACAUGGAAUAAGGUUUUAAAGUGUCUGUCCUAGAUAUACGAAAGCUCAAGAAAUAGUUCAGUUUAGAAAGUAUUCAUUCCCCUUGACUUAUUCCACAUUUUGUUGUGCCUGAAUUAAACAAAACUAAAAAUUCUCACCCAUCUACACACAAUACCCCAUACUGACAAAGUGAAAACAUGUUUUUAGAAAUGUGCAAAUUUAUUGAAAAUGAAAUACAGAAAUGUCUCAUUUACAUGCACUACAGUUCAAAAGUUUGGGGUCACUUAGAAAUGUCCUUGUUUUUAAAAAGCACUUUUUUGUCCAUUAAAAUAACAUCAAAUUGAUCCGAAAUACAAUGUAGACAUUGUUCAUGUUGUAAAUGACUAUUGUAGCUGGAAACGGCAGAUUUUUAAUGAAAUAUCUACAUAGGCGUACAGAGGCCCAUUAUCAGCAACCAUCACUCCUGUGUUCAAAUGGCACGACUCCAGGAUGCUGGCCUUCUAGGCAGAGUUCCUCUGCCCAGUGUCUUGUUUUUCCUAUCUUAAUCUUUUCUUUUUAUUUGCCAGUCUGAGAUAUGGAUUUUUCCUUGCAUUUCUGCCUAGGCCAUCAUCCCUGAGUCGCCUCUUCACUGUUGACGUUGAGACUGGUGUUUUGCGGGUACUAUUUAAUGAAGCUGCUAGUUGAGGACUUGUGAGGUGUCUGUUUCUCAAACUAGACACUAAUGUACUUGUCCUCUUGCUCAGUUGUGCAUUGGGGCCUCCCACUCCUUUCUAUUCUGGUUAGAGACCGUUUGCGCUGUUCUGUGAAAGGAGUAGUACACAGCGUUGUACGAGAUCUUCAGUUUCUUGGCAAUUUCUCGCAUGGAAUAGCCUUCAUUUUUCAGAACAAGAAUAGACUGAUGCGUUUCAGAAGAAAGUACUUUGUUUCUGGCCAUUUUGAGCCUGUAAUCGAACCCACAAAUGCUGAUGCAGAAGGCCAGUUUUAUUGCGUCUUUAAUCAGAACAACCGUUUUCAGCUGUACUAAUAUAAUUGCAAAAGGGUUUUCUAAUGAUCAAUUAGCCUUUUAAAAUGAUACACUUGGAUUAGCUAACACAAUGUGCCAUUGGAGCACUGGAGUGAUGGUUGCUGAUAAUGGGCAUCUGUACGCCUAUGUAGAUAUUUCAUAAAAAUCUGCUGUUUCCAGCUACAAUCGUCAUUUACAACAUUAACAAUGUCUACACUGUAUUUCUGAUCAAUUUGGUGUUAUUUUAAUUGACAAAAAAAUGUGCUUUUCUUUCAAAAAACGAGAACAUUUCUAAGUGUUUGAACGGUAGUCUAAGUAUUCACACCUGAGUCAAUACAUGUUAGAUUCACCUUUGGCACCGAUUACAGCUGUGAGUCUUUCUGGGUAAGUCUCUAAAGGCUUGUUCACAUAAACAAUUUGAAGUGACUCAUCUGUUCUUUUUCCUGCAGUCUGAACAGCCAAAAAGCACAUGGAAUUGGAUAUUUCAAGCCACACAAGGGUAGUAUUAAGUCAGAGAAAAAAAUGAUUCCUGGCCAUGUGACUUGUCUGAAUGGUCAAAUCUGAUUCAUUUCUGGUUUUUAGACUGCUAUUCAGCUUAUCUUGUUGCUUGUUUGCUACUCUGUUGACAGUUUGACAAGAACAUGUGGUAGCUAACUAGCUUGAUAAUUGUUUACAACAAAUUAGUGUGUGCUUUAUAGCUAAACCGCUGGCUAGCUAGUUUACUACUGUGGCUAACCAAAAAGGACUUGUUUUGAAAGUUGGAUCAUCUUAUCCUUUGAGGCUUUAAAAAUGUUCUUACCCUAUGAUUUUGAAGAUUCAAAGCAACUGGGAAAUGUCCAUGGCAGGCAUUGUUGUCAUGUUAACUUGCUCCAUAACUUUUGAGUGACAGGAAGCAAAAGCACCACCACCAAUCAGCCUGCACCACUGCACAC